CCCGGAUAAUGUGCCCUGUAAUUUCUGUUUUUGCUCUCAGACGUGAAACUCAUUAGCUUUUGUGGUUUCAGUGCACAUGCAAUGAACAGAAAAGCGUUUAAUUAUUACCACCAAGGAGGUGAUUUUCUUUUUGGGUAAAAAAGAGACUAAAUGAGGCAAUUUGCUGCCAGAAGUGUGUUUUCCUUUUUAAAAGGCAGUAACUUCAAGGUGUUGUGGUGGAUGUAGAUUUUUGCUGCAAGGAAAUAA